GUGACUUAUACAGAAGAGUAGUAUAGUUAACUCACUAUGCUGGAGACAAGAAAGUCUGAAGUCACAGUUGCAGCAUCUGGCAAGGGCUUCCACAUGCCUGGUGGGAGCAUAGUAGAAAAGAAGAGGGGAAGGUGGAUGUCCAAGAUGUGCUGCUAACUGUGACGAGGGUCCCAAAGAGGAGCAGGAUCAGGAAGAAAAAAGGCUGCCUGGCUCCUGGGUUGUGUCUCAAGUUAAUAAUGUCUCUACCUUGGACUGAAAUUGGGCUGUUGCUGCCUGUCGUGUGAAUUAG
rnacentral:lncRNA from 1 species